CAGAGAACAUUGCCCUCACGGGUGAUUCUCCAACCCUAUGUUAUUAAAACCUCUGUUGCUUUGGCGAGACGCUUCGGCCACCGGCUCCCGCUGGUGUGUGCUCGCCAGAGGACCACAAAACUCUGUUUAUUAGUGUCGUCUGAGUACUAUAUAAUAGUUA
rnacentral:misc_RNA from 1 species